AGCAGCCGCGGUAAUUCCAGCUCCAGUAGCGUAUAUUAAAGUUGUUGCAGUUAAAAAGCUCGUAGUUGAAUUUCGGGAUUCGCUCAUUGGUCAGGCUUAACUGUCUGUACUGAUGUGUCGGAUUUCUACCUUCUGAAGAACCUUCAUGUCAUUAAUUUGGUGUGUUGGGGAAUCAGGACUGUUACUUUGAAAAAUUAGAGUGUUUAAAGCAGGCUAACGUCUGAAUACAUUAGCAUGGAAUAAUGAAAUAGGACGGUACGGUUCUAUUUUGUUGGUUUCUAGGAUCGCCGUAAUGAUUAAUAGGGAUAGUUGGGGGCAUUAGUAUCCAAUUGUCAGAGGUGAAAUUCUUGGAUUUAUUGAAGACUAACUACUGCGAAAGCAUUUGCCAAGGAUGUUUUCAUUAAUCAAGAACGAAAGUUAGGGGAUCGAAGACGAUCAGAUACCGUCGUA
rnacentral:rRNA from 1 species